CGGGGUGUAGCGCAGCCUGGUAGCGUACUUGCAUGGGGUGCAAGGGUCGUGGGUUCAAAUCCCGCCACCCCGA
rnacentral:tRNA from 1 species